GUAGGUGGCAAGCGUUGUCCGGAAUUAUUGGGCGUAAAGCGCGCGCAGGCGGUUCUUUAAGUCUGAUGUGAAAGCCCACGGCUCAACCGUGGAGGGUCAUUGGAAACUGGAGAACUUGAGUACAGAAGAGGAAAGCGGAGUUCCACGUGUAGCGGUGAAAUGCGUAGAGAUGUGGAGGAACACCAGUGGCGAAGGCGGCUUUCUGGUCUGUAACUGACGCUGAGGCGCGAAAGCGUGGGGAGCAAACAGGAUUAGAUACCCUGGUAGUCCACGCCGUAAACGAUGAGUGCUAAGUGUUAGGGGGGUUUUCCGCCCCCCUUAGUGCUGCAGCUAACGCAUUAAGCACUCCGCCCUGGGAGUACGGCCGCAAGGCUG
rnacentral:rRNA from 1 species